UACGUAGGGGGCAAGCGUUGUCCGGAAUCAUUGGGCGUAAAGAGCGCGUAGGCGGCCCAGUCAGUCCGCUCUGAAAGUCAGGGGCUCAACCCCUGAAUGCGGGUGGAUACUGCUGGGCUAGAGUCCGGAAGAGGCGAGUGGAAUUCCUGGUGUAGCGGUGAAAUGCGCAGAUAUCAGGAGGAACACCGAUGGCGAAGGCAGCUCGCUGGGACGGUACUGACGCUGAGGAGCGAAAGCAUGGGGAGCGAACAGG
rnacentral:rRNA from 1 species